CUCACCGUGAUUAGUUUGUCUGAAAAUUUUGGUCUUGCUGAGCCUUCUGACACCUGUGGAGUUGAAGAAGAUAAUUCUCUCCGUCUUGGACUUUGUACAUUUGUACCCAUGGAGUGUACUGAUUCAAAUGAACAGAAGCAGAAAAAGGGGGCCAUAACACUGAUGAGAUGAAAACUGCUUGCCUAAACAAUGAAGAUCCUGAAAGCUCAUCUCUUAUAGCAGAGAAGCUGAAGAAGUCUCCUUUAUGAUCUUUGCAGACAUACAUGAGUUAAAUUUGGUCUAUCCUGUGUUGGCUUGUGCAAUGCACUUAAUUUGACCAAGGAAUGAUGUCAUGAAACUCUCAUUUAGGUUGGUAAAGAAAUCAAGACAGAGUCUUGGAGGUCCAGACAGAAGACAUCAUGCAGCAUUAGAAGCUGAUUAGACACAGAGAAAUUAGCUUUUAACUUGCAACAUUUCUGAUAAUUUCCUUGUUUUCAGCCCUAAAAUGUAAAUAUUUCUUAUUAAACCA